GAUGAACGCUGGCGGCGUGCCUAAUACAUGCAAGUUGAGCGAACAGACGAGGAGCUUGCUCCUCUGACGUUAGCGGCGGACGGGUGGGUAACACGUGGAUAACCUACCUAUAAGACUGGGAUAACUUCGGGAAACCGGAGCUAAUACCGGAUAAUAUAUUGAACCGCAUGGUUCAAUAGUGAAAGACGGUUUUGCUGUCACUUAUAGAUGGAUCCGCGCCGCAUUAGCUAGUUGGUAAGGUAACGGCUUACCAAGGCAACGAUGCGUAGCCGACCUGAGAGGGUGAUCGGCCACACUGGAACUGAGACACGGUCCAGACUCCUACGGGAGGCAGCAGUAGGGAAUCUUCCGCAAUGGGCGAAAGCCUGACGGAGCAACGCCGCGUGAGUGAUGAAGGUCUUCGGAUCGUAAAACUCUGUUAUUAGGGAAGAACAAAUGUGUAAGUAACUAUGCACGUCUUGACGGUACCUAAUCAGAAAGCCACGGCUAACUACGUG
rnacentral:rRNA from 1 species